rnacentral:lncRNA from 1 species
AGAGAAGAGCCACUCUUAGCUUCUGCUUUUGGGACAACUGGUCAGUUGAAAGUCCCAGGAGUUCGUUUGUGGCUUUCUGUAUACUUUUGCCUGGUUAAAGUCUGUGGCUAAAAAAUAGUUGAACCUUUCUUGAGAACUCUGUAACAAAGUAUGUUUUUGAUUAAAAGAGAAAGCCAACUAAAUCAUUAUGUGCUCAUUCUUUUUCUUAAGCUUGUGGAUGUCUUGGAUCUGGAAAGGGUUUCUAAUCACUUAGAGAAUUUUCAAACUUUAGGUCAGCAUUUUCCUUUAUUGCCUUGUGGCCAUUGAAAUGGGAAAUGUGACAUUUAAAAUAUGACCCUGGAAUAACAAUCCCCAUCCUUUUUUCAUUUUUAAAAGGAGAAGGUGGAGUGAUGGUGAUCAGAGAGAUGGGUGCUAGGGGAUUAUGAGAACCAGGAUGCUUAAAGGAGAGGUACAAAUUGGAAAUUGGAGACCCUUUCAUUGCCCAGCUAAGGGAUAAGGAAAGCUGUUUCUCUUCCAUCUGCCUUCUCUGUGAAAUGGGGGUCAAUGGGAGGGGAGUGGUGGUCAGGUAAGUUGCCUCUAUGGCAAUGGCUUGUACAUAACAUGACCACAUCAACAUUUGAUUUCUAAGCUUGCUGACAUGAGUUUCAGAGAGUUUAUCGGGCUGAGAGAUUUCUUCUCACCUGUUUGCUAACCUGAAAUUUAGAGUAUUUUAGGCCAGAACUUGAAGAGGAUAGUAGGUUAGCAUGAAGUUGAGAAAAAGGAAAAACAUUCCUUUGUGGAGCACUUCAGGAGAAAGGGCAGUUGUGUGUUUCUCUGCCUUCUGCUCUUGACCCUUAAUUCUUUGUGCUUAAUUCCAUCUCCUCCCACAUCACAACUCUCCCACAAAUGGCAGUCUCAAAGCUGAGGACGUCUCCAUCACUUCUUCAAACCUUUCCCACCCCUGUUGUCUCACUGAUAAAUUGUAAUGCCCUUUCUCCUCAGCCCUUUGUAUUCUAAAAGAAUAAUUCCAUUAGUUCUGACCUACUUUUGGAGUGGCAUCCACAUCUAUAUUUUGAUAGUUUUUUGGGCCACCACUGGAUCUCAGCCAGAUGGACAGGAGGGGUUUAGGGAGAGCAGAGAAUUCAUUGUCAGCACACCUACCUUAAUCGAAUGGUAGUAAAGGAAGUUCCCUAAGUGGAAAGGAAAUAAUGAUAGAAGGAAAGUUGGAACAUCAGGAAGGAAAAAACAAAACCACCCAAAAAACAUGGUAAGCAAAAAUAUGGGUAAGUAGGAUUUCCUUCUCAUCUUGAGUUUUCUAAAUUAUAUUUGAUAGUUGAAACAAAAAUUAUAACACUGCCUGAGGUGGUUCAAAAUGUAUACAGAGGAAAUAUUUAAAACAAUUAUAAACAGGUAAGAGUAAAAGAACCUAUAGGAAUAUAGGUUUUCUACAUUUCACUCAAACUGGCAAAAUGACAAUAGUAGACUGUGAUAUUAUGAAUAUAUAAUGAAAUUCCUAGUACAACUACUGAAAAAAGUAUACAAAGAUGUAUACACAAAAUCAUUACAGAUAAAUCAAAAUGAAAUUCUCAAAAAUGUUGAGAAUUCUCAAAAAGUAACUUAGGAUAAGGCAGGAAAAAGAACACAGAAACAACAGAACAAAGGUAAAUGGAAAAUUGGAGACUUAGAUGCUAACAUAUCAAUAAUUACAUUAAUAGAAAUGGUCUAUAUUAAUUAAAAGAAAUGCUGGCAGAAUGGAUCAAGAAACACGACCCAACUGUAUACUGUCUACAAGAAACUCACUUAACAAUAAAUGCAAGCUGAAAGAAGUAUGGUAAGAUACCUAUCAGGUAAACAUUAAAAGAAAACAGUAAUGGGGCUAUACUAAUAUCAAAAUAGGUUUCAGAGCAAAGAAAAUACCAAAGAGGAACAUAUAAUGAUGAAAGGGUCAGUCCAUGAGGAAGACAUAGGAAUCCUAAAUGUGUAUGCACCAAACAACAGAGCAGCAAAAUAUGUGGAGAAAAAAAACUGAUAAAUCCAUAACUAUAUUUGAGGACUAUAAUACUUCUCUUUCAGCAAUCAAUAGAAUUAAACAUAAAAUCAAGAAUAUAGAAGAACUCACUACUAUCGGCCAAUAAGAUCUAACUUACAUUUAUAGGAUAAGCCAUCCAAUAACAGCAACAUUCAUAUAUCUUUCAAAUGCUAACAACAUAAACCAAGAUAGGUCAUAUCAUGGGCCAUAAAACAAAACUCAAAAAGUGUAAAAGAAGACAAAGUUUUCUCUGACCACAAUAUAAUCAAACUAGGAAUCAUCAACAGAAAGAUAACAGGAAAAUCUCCAAACACUUAAAACAAUGUAAGUAAUCCAUGGGUCAAAGAAGUCUCAAGGAAAAUUAACAAAACCAUGAACUGAAUGAAAAUGAAAAUAAAACACCAAUGUUUGUGGAAUAUGGCAAAAGCAGUUUGAAAGAUAACUUUAUAGCACUAAAUGCAAACCUUAGGGAAAAAAGGGAAAAUUUCAAUACUCUAAGCUCCCACUUCAAGCACCUAGAAAAAGGAGAGCAAGGCCGGAUGCAGUGGCUCAUGCCCGUAAUCCCAGCAUUUUGGGAGGCUGAGGCAGGCAGAUCACCUGAAAUGGGGAGUUUGAGACCAGCCUGUCCAACAUGGUGAAAACCCAUCUCUACUAAAAAUACAAAAAUUAGCUAGGCGUGGUUACGCAUGCCUGUAAUCCCAGCUACUUGGGAAGCUGAGGCAGGAGAAUUGCUUGAACCUGGGAGAUGGAGGUCGCGGUGAGCUGAGAUUGUGCCAUUGCACUCCAGCCUGGGUGACAGAGUGAAACUAUCUCAAAAAAAAAAAAAAAAAA